GAUGAAGAACGUAGCGAAAUGCGAUAAGUAAUGUGAAUUGCAGAAUUCAGUGAAUCAUCGAAUCUUUGAACGCACAUUGCGCCCGCCAGCAUUCUGGCGGGCAUGCCUGUUCGAGCGUCAUUACAACCCUCAGGCCCCCGGGCCUGGCGUUGGGGAUCGGCGGAGCCCCCCGUGGGCACACGCCGUCCCCCAAAUACAGUGGCGGUCCCGCCGCAGCUUCCAUCGCGUAGUAGCUAACACCUCGCGACUGGAGAGCGGCGCGGCCACGCCGUAAAACACCCAACUCUUCUGAAGUUGACCUCGAAUCAGGUAGGAAUACCCGCUGAACUUAAGCAUAUCAAUAAGCGGAGGA
rnacentral:misc_RNA from 1 species